GAUGAACGCUGGCGGCGUGCCUAAUACAUGCAAGUCGAGCGAACGGACGAGAAGCUUGCUUCUCUGAUGUUAGCGGCGGACGGGUGAGUAACACGUGGAUAACCUACCUAUAAGACUGGGAUAACUUCGGGAAACCGGAGCUAAUACCGGAUAAUAUUUUGAACCGCAUGGUUCAAAAGUGAAAGACGGUCUUGCUGUCACUUAUAGAUGGAUCCGCGCUGCAUUAGCUAGUUGGUAAGGUAACGGCUUACCAAGGCAACGAUGCAUAGCCGACCGGAGAGGGGGGUCGGCCACACGGGAACUGAGACGCGGUCCUGACUCCUACGGGAGGCAGCAGUAGGGAAUCUUCCGCAGUGGGCGAAAGCCUGACGGAGCAACGCCGCGUGAGUGAUGAAGGUCUUCGGAGCGUAAAACUCUGUUAUUAGGGAAGAACAUAUGUGUAAGUAACUGUGCACAGCUUGACGGUACCUAAUCAGAAAGCCACGGCUAACUACGUG
rnacentral:rRNA from 1 species